UGAGGAAUAUUGCUCAAUGGGCGAAAGCCUGAAGCAGCAACGCCGCGUGCGCGAUGAAGGUCUUCGGAUCGUAAAGCGCUUUUGAGAGGGACGAGAUAGGACGGUACCUCUUGAAUAAGUCACGGCUAACUACGUGCCAGCAGCCGCGGUAAAACGUAGGUGGCAAGCGUUAUCCGGAUUUACUGGGUUUAAAGGGUGCGUAGGUGGGCUUAUAAGUCAGUGGUGAAAUCUCCGAGCUUAACUUGGAAACUGCCGUUGAUACUAUAGGUCUUGAAUUAUCUGGAGGUAAGCGGAAUAUGUCAUGUAGCGGUGAAAUGCUUAGAUAUGACAUAGAACACCAAUUGCGAAGGCAGCUUACUACAUAUAAAUUGACGCUGAGGCACGAAAGCGUGGGGAUCA
rnacentral:rRNA from 1 species